rnacentral:tRNA from 1 species
ACCAGGAUUGCCAAGUGGUUAAGGCAUUGGACUUAAGGUCCAACAUAUGUCAGCGUGGGUUCGAACUUCACUCCUGGUU